rnacentral:snRNA from 1 species
GUGCUCGCUUCGGCAGCACAUAUACUAAAAUUGGAACGAUACAGAGAAGAUUAGCAUGGCCCCUGCACAAUGAUAAUGGGAACUACCUCUUUCUU